CGGGUGAGUAAUGUAUGGGGAUCUGCCUGAUGGCGGGGGAUAACUACUGGAAACGGUAGCUAAUACCGCAUAAUGUCUGCGGACCAAAGCGGGGGGACCGUCCGGGCCUCGCGCCAUCAGAUGAACCCAUAUGGGAUUAGCUUGUAGGUAAGGUAACGGCUUACCUAGGCGACGAUCCCUAGCUGGUCUGAGAGGAUGAUCAGCCAUACUGGGACUGAGACACGGCCCAG
rnacentral:rRNA from 1 species